rnacentral:lncRNA from 1 species
GCGAUCAAGAUGCCUUAACGAAUGGGUGAUCUUGAUAUUGGCGAUAACAGAGCUAGCGAAUUAGAACCUUUGAAAUUGGCAAUAUAACUUAUUGACGAAUACUAUUCUUAAAAUCAAAUUGGAGAAAUUUUAUUACUUAUCACAUAGAGUUUUGGAGAACAUAAUGAGUUUGACGAUUAAAAUUGUACACAUAUGGAGAUUUUGGCGAGAUCAAAAUUAUGGUGAUCUACGGGCGACUAUAUCCCCCUGGAGUUUAGCGAUCAUAAGACUUUGACAAUACCACACUGUAUAGGCGAUCUUCUUCCUAUGGAGACUAGUAGGAUUACUGGUAAUAUUUUUUCAAGUGUUCGGCGUUCAAGGGGUGAGGCAAUGCCUUUCCACUAAUGUCUUCUAGUCAAUAAAUUCCUAGCUUGGACACUUUAACCACUUUAUAGAGACCUUCUCAUGUAGGACCGAGCUUCCCGGCAUUCAACUCCUUUUUAGACAGAGUGACCUUUCUCAAGACUAAAUUGCCAGGCAAAAAAGAUUUGUGCCUAACUCUCUGCUUGUAGUAUUUGGUGACCUAGUGCUUGUAGGCUACUUGGCGUACCUCAACUCGCUCCCUCUUUUUGUCAAGGAGAUCAAGGUUGAGCCUUAGCUCGGUUUCGUUGUUCUCAUUAUCAAAAUUUUAGAUCCUGAAGCUCGGAAUUCCUAUCUCCACUAGUAUAACCGAUUCUGUCCCAUAGACCAUUGCGUAUGGCGUCUCGCCUAUAGGGAUUCUGCUUGUCAUGUGAUAAGCCCAAAGUAUGCUCGGUAGAUCCUCAGCCCAUUCACUCUUUGAUUUUUCUAACCUCGCCUUUAGAUUCCUCAAGAUCGUUCUAUUGGCGACCUAUACCUGACCAUUCGCUUGAGGAUGACUAGGCGAGGAGAAAUGGUAGGAGAUGGCGAGAUCUGAACAAAAUAGCUUGAACUCAUCAUUGUCGAAUUGGCUUGCGUUAUCGAGAUGAUAACCAUGGGAAUUCCAAAUCGGCAGACGAUACUCUUCCAUAUGAAAUUUCUAGCGUUCUUCUUGGUGAUUUUGGCGAGAGGCUCUGCUUCAAUCCAUUUGGUGAAUUAAUCUAUGGUGACGAUUAAAAAUUUCUUUUGUAAUGGAGCUUGAGAAAGAGGUCCAAGUAUGUCCACUUCCCAUUGGGAGAACAUCCACAAACUAGUCAUUGGCACCAUCUCAGUAUUGGGGAGAUGACUUACUGGAGCAAACUUUUAGCACUUGUCAUAUUUUUUAGUGUACGAUAUCGCAUCUCGUUCUAACUGAGGUAGAAAUACCCUUGGCGAACAACCUUUCUGACUAGCGACCUUGCCUUUGAAUGGUUUCUGUAGAUACCUUCAUGAAUCUCUUUGAGUACAUAUUCUGCUUCUUCAGGUUGGAGGCAUCUCAAGAGUGGUCCUGAAAAAGAUCUCUUGUAUAGAGUUCCAUGGAGCAGGCAAAAUCUGGCAGAUUGGUAUUGGAUCCAGUGAGCUUGAAGCCUGUCAGAUGGCAGUGUUUUGUCUCGGAGGUACGCGAUGAUCUCGGUCAUCCAUGUUGGAUCUGCUAUAGUCUCACAUACGGUUUUGGCGACAUCAAUGCUGGAAUUUGGCAAGAACUCCAAAGGGUUACUCCUGUCUGAUAUGAAAUCAAAGGAUAAGGCUAGGUUAGCCAUCCUUCAUACUCUCUUCUCUAAGGAUUUGGUGAAUCUUGAAGUUUUUGAUCCUUUCUGAUAAGUCCUUUACUUCUUCAAAAUAGGCUACCAUUCACUAAUAUUUGGCGAGGUGGUCUCCUUGCACUUGACUUACCACAAGUUGAAAGUCACUGACAGUGUCCAAGGAUUCAACCCCCAACUCUGUUGCAACCCUAAGUCCGGCAAGAAAAGCUUCAUAUUCCGCUGUGGCUUUGAACCCAAUGCGUAUAGCGUAUUCCAUAUGCUCACCGAUAGGGUCUAGAGUACAAGUCUUGCACCACAACCGUGCUGGUUGGAUGAGCCAUCCAAAAGAGUUACCACCUGGCGAGGUCUUUGUCCAAGUUUUGUUCUUUCGGAAUUUCCACCUUGGGUUCUAGAGCAACAUCAUGUGUGAAGUCGGUUAGAGCUUGGGCUUUGAUUGCCAUCCCUGGCCUGUAGUUAAUAUGAAAUUCACUGAGCUUAAUGGACCGUUUGAGAAGUCUUCCCAAGGUGUCAGGUUGUUGGAAUCUACUUUAAGGGCUAGUCUGUUAGCAUAGCAAUGGGAUGAGCUUGGAAAUAACGACGAAGCUUUGUGGCGGCUAUUAGAAGGGCAUAUGAGCUUCUCAAUUUUUAGGUAUCUAGUCUCAGCUCCCAUGAGGACUUUGCUGACAUAGUACACUGGUUUCUAAGCUUUAUCCUCUUCUCGGAUAAGCAUUGCACUUAUUGCUAUUGGCAAGACGGAUAGGUACACAAUGAACCCUUCGCCCGUAAUAGGAACUGUGAAUGAGGGUGGUGACCCAAGGUACUCCUUCAGCAAAUGGAAUGCU